rnacentral:rRNA from 1 species
AACGAACGCUGGCGGCAUGCCUAACACAUGCCAGUCGAACGAGACCUUCGGGUCUAGUGGCGCACGGGUGCGUAACGCGUGGGAACCUGCCCUUAGGUUCGGAAUAACUCCCCGAAAGGGGUGCUAAUACCGGAUAAUCUCUUCGGACCAAAGAUUUAUCGCCUUUGGAUGGGCCCGCGUUUGAUUAGCUAGUUGGUAGGGUAAAAGCCUACCAAGGCCACGAUCCAUAGCUGGUCUGAGAGGAUGAUCAGCCACACUGGAACUGAGACACGGACCAGAAUCCUACGGGAGGCAGCAGUGGAGAAUAGUGGACGAUGGGCGAAAGCCUGAUCAAGCAAUGCCGCGUGAGUGAUGAAGGCCUUAGGGUUGUAAAGCUCUUUUACCCGGGAUGAUAAUGACAGUACCGGGAGAAUAAGCUCCGGCUAACUACGUG